UACAGAGGUCCCAAGCGUUGUUCGGAUUCAUUGGGCGUAAAGGGUGCGUAGGCGGCGCGGUAAGUCGGGUGUGAAAUCUCGGAGCUUAACUCCGAAACUGCAUUCGAUACUGCCGUGCUUGAGGACUGGAGAGGAGACUGGAAUUUACGGUGUAGCGGUGAAAUGCGCAGAUAUCAGGAGGAACACCGAUGGCGAAGGCAGGUCUCUGGGCCACUACUGACGCUGAGAAGCGAAAGCAUGGGAGCGAACAGG
rnacentral:rRNA from 1 species